rnacentral:rRNA from 1 species
UACGAAGGGGGGCUAGCGUUGCUCGGAAUCACUGGGCGUAAAGGGUGCGUAGGCGGGUCUUUUAAGUCAGGGGGUGAAAUCCUGGAGCUCAACUCCAGAACUGCCUUUGAUACUGAAGAUCUUGAGUUCGGGAGAGGUGAGUGGAACUGCGAGUGUAGAGGUGAAAUUCGUAGAUAUUCGCAAGAACACCAGUGGCGAAGGCGGCUCACUGGCCCGAUACUGACGCUGAGGAGCGAAAGCGUGGGGAGCGAACAGG